rnacentral:rRNA from 1 species
GACGAACCGUGCGAACGUUGUUCGGAAUCACUGGGCUUAAAGGGCGCGUAGGCGGGCCAGCAAGUCAGGGGUGAAAUCCCACGGCUCAACCGUGGAAGAGCCUUUGAUACUGCGGGCCUCGAGGGAGGUAGGGGCGUGUGGAACUUCCGGGUGGAGCGGUGAAAUGCGUAGAUAUCGGAAGGAACAUCGGUGGCGAAAGCGGCGCGCUGGACCUCUUCUGACGCUGAGGCGCGAAAGCCAGGG